rnacentral:rRNA from 1 species
AUUGAACGCUGGCGGCAGGCCUAACACAUGCAAGUCGAACGGAUGAGAGGAGCUUGCUUCUCGAUCCAGCGGCGGACGGGUGUGUAAUGCCUAGGAAUCUGCCUGGUAGUGGGGGACAACGUUUCGAAAGGAACGCUAAUACCGCAUACGUCCUACGGGAGAAAGCAGGGGACCUUCGGGCCUUGCGCUAUCAGAUGAGCCUAGGUGGGAUUAGCUAGUUGGUGAGGUAAUGGCUCACCAAGGCGACGAUCCGUAACUGGUCUGAGAGGAUGAUCAGUCACACUGGAACUGAGACACGGUCCAGACUCCUACGGGAGGCAGCAGUGGGGAAUAUUGGACAAUGGGCGAAAGCCUGAUCCAGCCAUGCCGCGUGUGUGAAGAAGGUCUUCGGAUUGUAAAGCACUUUAAGUUGGGAGGAAGGGUUGUAGAUUAAUACUCUGCAAUUUUGACGUUACCGACAGAAUAAGCACCGGCUAACUUCGUGCCAGCCGCCGCCGCAACAC